rnacentral:rRNA from 1 species
GAUGAACGCUGGCGGCGUGCUUAACACAUGCAAGUCGAACGGGAAGUGGAGACGUAAACCUUCGGGCGGAAGGCGUUAUUUGGAGUGGCGGACGGGUUAGGAACGCGUGGGUAGCCUGCCGUAUACAGGGGGAUAACAGUUGGAAACGAGUGUUAAUACCGCAUAAGACCACAGCACCGCAUGGUGCGGGGGUAAAAACUCCGGUGGUAUUAGAUGGACCGGAGUUGGAUUGGCCUGUUGGCGGGGUAACGGGCCACGAAAGCGACGAUCGAUACACUGUCUGAGAGAAUGACCCGCCACAUUGGGACUGAGACGCGGCCCAAACUCCUACGCGAGGGGGCAAUGGGGGAUAUAGCACAGUGGGGGAAGCCCUGAUGCACCGACGCCGCGUGAGUGAAGAAAUAUGUCGGUAUGUAAAGCUCUAUCAGCAGGGAAGAAAAUGACGGUACCUAAGGAAGAAGCCCCGGCUAACUACGUG